AAAUGAAGACAGAAAAUAAAGUGAACAGUUGCCUUUUAAUUUUUGACACACACACACGUGUGUACAUGUGUAUGUGUGUGUGUUCGUGUGUGUGUGUGUGUGUGUGUGUGUGUGUGUAUGUG